CGGCCGCUGCCCGUGCCGUGAAAAAGCUCUUCCUACUGAUCGUUCAACCAGGGAAUCGCCACUGUUCGUGGGUGCGCAGGCCCGUCCGGCGGGAAGCCCGAAGCGAUUACUUGCGAUGCCCACCUGCUGCGGUAGGGGUUGAGCUUUCGAAACCGCCGGGCAGCGGCCCU
rnacentral:other from 1 species